ACUUUGCAGCCGGUCGGAGCGACGGAGUUGAGGCCGCCAGACCGAACAGAAAACUGAAAACUCCACUUACAGCAGAUCAUCAGCCCAACUUCUUAAGAAUCAAACACGAACACUGGAUUAUCUCCUAAGAUUAAAGCCAUCUUGGAGAUUGCAACAGAGGGUGAGAGCCAUCCCCAUACUUGGACAUGAAAAAUGACCUUCCUUCCAUCCAGGAAGUUGCAUAUUCAGCCAAACCUCCAGAAGUGGUAAGAAGGGAUCCCCUUCUGAUCAAACUCAUCCAGAUGAACCAAAUAGGACUUAAAGAAUGGAAUGGAAUGGAGAAGCACAAGGGUGACCAGGCCUCUGUCUUCUGCUCUGCUUGCUCUCACAGCCACUGAAUGCCCCGCCCUCUCCCAGACUGCUGUCUAUGUGCUGCAGGCCUGUCUAUGUCCAAGGUCAGCUAGAGUGGGAGCUGAAAUCUUGGCCCAGUUCUACCUUAAGCAUUGACCACUGGAGUGCCUCUGUGUCUACCCAGAGGAUGUGGUUCCUUUCUCUAAGCUGCACCAAGUCACCUGGUAUGGACUGUUGGUUCCAAUCAUCCCACCUAAACUCCAGCAUUAUCUAGGCUAUAUUCCUGACUUUGGAUGAAUGAUUCUCAUGAACAACUUGGGUUUAUUAGAAGAUAUAAUAUGUACUAUAUAUUGAAAUUGACUAUAGAUAAAGCUAAAAACAUUAACAUGUAUAUGA